rnacentral:rRNA from 1 species
AUAUCACUAAGCGGAGGAAAAGAAAUUAACUAAGAUUGCCUCAGUAACGGCGAGUGAAGCGGCAAAAGCCCAAACUGGAAAUCCCCGUACUCUGUGCGGUGAAUUGUAAUCUAGAGGACUUAAUCUCAACUGGGCGCGACGCAGAACUUCCCAGGAAUGGGAGGCCAGAGAGGGUGACAGCCCCGUAUGUGGUGUCGCUCCCUAACGAGAUGGGUUCCAGGAGUCGGGUUGUUUUGAAUUGCAGCCCUAAUACGGGGGAUAGACUUCCUCCAAGGCUAAAUAUUUACGGGAGACCGAUAGCGCACAAGUA